UAAAUAUAUAUAUAUAUAUAUAGAGAGAGAGAGAGAGAGAGAGAGAGAGAGAGGCUGUAGCUUCUAUACUAUUAUGGGUAUUGGAGUUCUCGUACUCAUAAGUUAUUUUCGAUGAUAGAGCUUCCAAAUCGAUGAUCCAUUCCGCUAAAUAUGAUCUAGAGUAUUUGAAACUUGUAGAAAAUAAAUUUCGUAAAUUUUCGAAAUCAUAAUAAAGUCCAUCAAGCGGGCGUAAAAUGAACGGUCAAAAUCGAACGACGUCCUAAAAAAGGAUGAUCGGAUCCUUCAAUUCAAGAUCGGAGUUGUUGAUCUUUAUCUAGAUAGUGAAUAGAAUUUUUUCAAAAAUUCAACAAAUUCCAAUUCUUUUACGCCGUUAAACUAGCAAGUAUCCCAUACCGGCCAUUAAAAAUUGUCAAAUUUGUGACAUCUUGAUCAUAAAGUAAAUGAUGUCGAAAGAUUAUAAAAUUUGAUUUCUAGAAGUUUUAAAUGCUGUAAAUAACGUUUAACGGUAUGGAUCAUCGAUUCGGAAGCUCUAUCAUCGAAAACGAUUUAUGAGUAUG
rnacentral:lncRNA from 1 species